rnacentral:rRNA from 1 species
AGUAACACGUGGCUAACCUGCCCUUGGGACAAGAACACCCCCGGGAAACUGGGGCUAAUUCGUGAUAGGCGAAGAACUCUGGAAUGAGUCUUCACCCAAAAGACGCUUACACUAUGCUUGUAGGCGCCGCCCAAGGAUGGGGCCGCGACCGAUCAGGUUGUUGGUGAGGUAAUGGCUCCAAGCCUUUUACCGGUGCGGGCCGUGAGAGCGGGAGCCCGGAGAUGGGCACUGAGACAAGGGCCCAGGCCCUACGGGGCGCAGCAGUCGCGAAAACUUUGCAAUAAGCGAAAGCUUGACAGGGCUAUCCCGAGUGCCAUCCGCUGAGGAAGGCUUUUACCCAGUCUAGAACGCUGGGGGAAUAAGGAGAGGGCAAGUCUGGUGUCAGCCGCCGCGGUAAUACCAGCUCUCCGAGUGGUGUGGAUGUUUAUUGGGCCUAAAGCAUCCGUAGCUGGCUAGGUUAGUCCCUUGUUAAAUCCACCGAAUUAAUCGUUGGAUUGCGGGGGAUACUGCCUGGCUAGGGGACGAGAGAGGCAGACGGUAUUUCCGGGGUAGGGGUGAAAUCCUAUAAUCCCGGGAAGACCACCAGUGGCGAAGGCUGUCUGCUAGAACGCGCCCGACGGUGAGGGAUGAAAGCUGGGGGAGCGAACCGGAUUAGAUACCCGGGUAGUCCCAGCUGUAAACGAUGCAGACUAGGUGUUUGGACGGCCACGUGCCGUUCUAGUGCCGCAGGGAAGCUGUUAAGUCUGCCGCCUGGGGAGUACGAUCGCAAGAUUGAAACUUAAA